rnacentral:rRNA from 1 species
CAACCUGCCCUGAAGCGGGGGACAACAACUCGAAAGAGUUGCUAAUACCGCAUGUGAAUUGCUCUGGCAUCAGGGCGUAUUCAAAGCCGCAAGGCACUUCAGGAUGGGCCCGCGGCCUAUCAGCUAGUUGGUGAGGUAACGGCCCACCAAGGCUUCGACGGGUAGCUGGUCUGAGAGGACGAUCAGCCGGAUUGGGACUGAGAUACGGCCCAG